UGUGGUGGCGAUAGCGAGAAGGAUACACCUGUAACCAUGCCGAACACAGAAGUUAAGCUUCUUAGCGCCGAUUGUAGUGAGGGGUU
rnacentral:rRNA from 2 species